rnacentral:rRNA from 1 species
UACGAAGGGUGCAAGCGUUACUCGGAAUUACUGGGCGUAAAGCGUGCGUAGGUGGUUUGUUAAGUCUGAUGUGAAAGCCCUGGGCUCAACCUGGGAAUUGCAUUGGAUACUGGCAGGCUAGAGUGCGGUAGAGGAUGGCGGAAUUCCCGGUGUAGCAGUGAAAUGCGUAGAGAUCGGGAGGAACAUCUGUGGCGAAGGCGGCCAUCUGGACCAGCACUGACACUGAGGCACGAAAGCGUG